GUUAGCAGCUCCAGGCCUGGGCUUCAUGGUUUCCAUGUUCAUGCUCUUGGUGACACAACAAACAGUUGCAUGUCAACUGUCUACUUGCAGGACCACACUUCACAAUUGUUCAUAAGCAGGUUGUUUUCUGGACAAAAGUGUACCAUCCGAACAUU